ACGUAAAUAUUAGUAUUUUGUAUGUUUGAUUUAUUUCUUUGCAGUUUAUAUGCUUCAGUAGUGCACAACAGUAGUAUAUAUUCAAUCUCCAUGCAAAAUGAGAGGGGAUGUAGGAGAUGUGAACUUUGAGGUAUUAGUUGGGGAAUCGUAGUUUGAAUGUUAGGUUGGAGCUGUUCUGAAAGUUACAUCACCAGGAGAUGACAUAAUCGACGAUCCUGCUUGUGUUUGAAGACAAUGUGCUAGCCGUGGAAAUUUUGAUGGAAGAUCAAGAAGUGCAGCAGCAAAAUUAAGGACAUCAAUUACUUCGGUCAUUGACGGCCGAAAAGAGUAAUCUGGGUGAGCACACCAGAGCCCAAUAGUCAUCAAACAUUCCAUCUGUUUCUUUGUAAAAUCUCCAUGGAGUUUCUGAUCAGCUGCCUUGAGAAGCUUUCCACUUCCAUGGUACUCCCAUACCCAUUUUACUAUGUGUACCUGGCUCCCGUCUUCCCUUUGCACAAAGGGUUUUCUUCCACAAGCAAUCUCCAAGGCCACAACACAAAGCUGAAGACAUCUGAUUCUUUGUUCGACUUUCCUGUGUCCAAACAUUCAGGAGCAAUAUAUCCAUGGCUCCCACCCUGUAAAGUUCGAGAUCGCCUGUCAUGUUCCUGAAGCUGAGCUAACCCGAAAUCUCCAGGCAUAGGGUUGAAAUCUGAAUCCAACAUCACAUUGCUUGACUUGAUGUCUCUGUGCAACACGCAUUGUCUCUGUCUCCAUCCAUGGUGUAAGUAAUGCAACCCAGAGGCCAAACCUUGAGCAAUUUUGAACCUCUGCGCCCACUUCAGCAAGCAUUCCUUGUUGAAUAGAUGGAAAUCUAGACUGCGAUUUUCCAAGAACUCAUAAACAAGUAGGAAUUGCUUUCGCUCAUGGCACCAACCAAUUAGUUGAACCAAAUUCUUGUGCCU
rnacentral:misc_RNA from 1 species